GUUCGUGUCUCUCAGAAAGCAAAGACUUGAGUCUAGACGUGGGAAUCACCCAAUGACAUAAAUAGUCUUACAAGAACAACACAAAUGAUCCUUUAAUCUACGGAUUUCAUCACACCAAGGCCUACAGAGCAAACACCUGAAAACACUGCAUGCCCUUUCAAGGAGAGCUGAACAUCCGAUUGGCCCUCUCUGCUCCUGAGAUGAUCACAUUAAGGAUAUCUACUCUCUCUGACAUCAUAGAGAUCCUGGAGUAAGGAAAGCUGUGCGAAUCGCAGCUGAUGGCUGCCCCUCUCUGAGCCUGGUUCUACCGGAAGUUUCCUUUCCUUCCCACUGUCACAAAGUGCUUAUGAAUAGUGGGACAUCUGAUUGUUGGGGUUGUCUCUGUAUUAUUG